GCACGAGAUUAUAGCACGCCAUGGGGUACCAGUAACUAUCGUGUCCGAUAGAGAUGCCCAGUUUACCUCAAAUUUUUGGCGCGAUUUUCAGGAACAAAUGGGUACCAAGUUGUUGAUUAGUACUGCAUAUCACCCACAAACCGACGGGCAAAGUGAGCGAACAAUUAGAAGUUAGAAGAUAUGCUUCGGGCGUGCAUAAUAGAUUUCGACGGUAGUUGGGAUGCGUAUCUGCCGUUAGUCGAAUUUUCAUAUAAUAACAGCUACCAUUCAAGUAUUGGUAGAGCCCCAUAUGAAAUGCUUUACGGUAGAAAAUGUCGGACACCAAUAUGCUGGGAAGAAGUAGGCUCUCGAGAGCUUGCUCAUAAAGAUGUGAUUCGGGUGACGGACGAGAAAAUUGACAUGAUCCGAGCCCAUUUGAAGGUAGCUCAAGAUCGACAAAAAUCAUAUGCGGAUAAAAGACGAAGGCCAAUUGAAUUUCAAAUUGGUGAUAAGGUGAUGCUUAAGGUGUCCCCGUGGAAAGGAAUUAUCCGGUUUAGAAAACAAGGAAAGUUAAGCCCGAGAUUUAUAGGGCCUUUUAAAAUCCUAGAUCGGGUGGGUAUGGUAGCUUACCGACUGGAACUACCAGAGGAGUUAAGUGGAAUACAUAACACGUUCCAUGUCUCACAUCUACGGAAGUGUUUAGCGGAUGAUACGGCCUAUGUUCCCCUCGACGAUAUAGAGGUUGAUAAUAAACUCAACUACAUAGCGAGGCCUAUCGCAAUCCUCGACCGUAAAGUUAAGGGUUUAAGGAACAAAGAAAUCGAACAAGUAAAGGUCAAAUGGGAGCACCGGAAGGGAUAAGACACCACUUGGGAGUCUGAAGAAGAAAUGAGACGACUCUACCCUUCGCUUUUUGGCAACUCGGGUGGAGCUUCGGGGAGUUAAGCCAGGGCAAACACAAAGUUGAAGGAAAAGCAGUAAGGACGAUGCAAGCAUAUGGAUGAUGAUCAAGUCAUUGCUAUCAAACCGAACACACUCAAGAUCUUGUUCCGCUACUUUUGUUUAUACUUGUAGUUGAUAAAACUAAUGUAAUUAAAGGAAUAUUAUGUAUCCUAAUGUUGUUUUUGAACGUUUGUUAAACUAGUAAUUACUAAACUAAUGAUAAUGUAAAUGUUUGGGCUUAAC